rnacentral:rRNA from 1 species
UACAGAGGGUGCAAGCGUUGUUCGGAAUUAUUGGGCGUAAAGCGCGUGUAGGCGGCUUUGCAAGUCGGGUGUGAAAGCCCUCAGCUCAACUGAGGAAGUGCGCCCGAAACUGCAGAGCUUGAGUACCGGAGAGGGUGGCGGAAUUCCCCAAGUAGAGGUGAAAUUCGUAGAUAUGGGGAGGAACACCGGUGGCGAAGGCGGCCACCUGGACGGUCACUGACGCUGGAGACGCGAAAGCGUGGGGAGCGAACAGG